rnacentral:rRNA from 1 species
AUCCCUUGACAUCCUGCGAACUUUCUAGAGAUAGAUUGGUGCCUUCGGGAACGCAGUGACAGGUGCUGCAUGGCUGUCGUCAGCUCGUGUCGUGAGAUGUUGGGUUAAGUCCCGCAACGAGCGCAACCCUUAUCAUUAGUUGCUAACAUUUAGUUGAGAACUCUAAUGAGACUGCCGGUGAUAAACCGGAGGAAGGCGGGGACGACGUCAAGUCAUCAUGGCCCUUAUGGGAUGGGCUACACACGUGCUACAAUGGGGGGUACAAAGAGCAGCCAACUGGUGACAGUGCGCGAAUCUCAUAAAACCUCUCGUAGUCCGGAUCGGAGUCUGCAACUCGACUCCGUGAAGUCGGAAUCGCUAGUAAUCGUGAAUCAGAAUGUCACGGUGAAUACGUUCCCGGGCCU